GUAGGUGGCAAGCGUUGUCCGGAAUUAUUGGGCGUAAAGCGCGCGCAGGCGGUUCUUUAAGUCUGAUGUGAAAGCCCACGGGCUCAACCGUGGAGGGUCAUUGGAAACUGGAGAACUUGAGUACAGAAGAGGAAAGCGGGAUUCCACGUGUAGCGGUGAAAUGCGUAGAGAUGUGGAGGAACACCAGUGGCGAAGGCGGCUUUCUGGUCUGUAACUGACGCUGAGGCGCGAAAGCGUGGGGAGCAAACAGGAUUAGAUACCCUGGUAGUCCACGCCGUAAACGAUGAGUGCUAAGUGUUAGGGGGUUUCCGCCCCUUAGUGCUGCAGCUAACGCAUUAAGCACUCCGCCUGGGGAGUACGGCCGCAAGGCUG
rnacentral:rRNA from 1 species